CAGCCCACCACCACCCCCAGUCGAUCUGUACACGUAUUUUUGUGUGAAAUUCGGUUGAGAUUCCAGGAUUUGUUCGGCCAUUGGGUACUAGCCAGCGAGACCGUGAGAUUGAGUGGUAGAGAAUAGAAGAGAUCAGCGAGAACCGGAUCCCCCCCCAACGGCAGAAAAAACAGAAUUGGGUUAUUUGUUUAGCUCUAGUUCUAGACUUGGACCUCAGAAUAGUUGGUGUAUUUUUGUUUGAGUGCUAAAUUAAGGAUAAUGACAGCUUGUUUGCUCUUGCUAAUUAAGUUGGCAGCAAACAUGUGGAGGGUUGUUUCGCUGUAAAACUAUUCCGGUGUGAUGGUUGCCUUUUUGUUGUUGUUGUUAAGGAAACAUAUUUUAUACUAGCAACUUAUCGAGUAGGAAGCACCAGGCAAUGUUGUGGUGGGUUGACCGAGUCUGUACUUGAGCUGUAGUUAUUCACUCUUUGCAAUUCCUUCGUUUCUGGUAAUAGAAAUCAGAAGCUAUGGAGGGUCUUGCCCGGGGAAAAAAGAAGGAAAAAGUAGUAAUAGGCAACGCCAGCGUGUUUCUUGUCCUGAAUCAUGCAUUUGGGUAGGUAACUCAAGAAGGUCCCAUUAGUCUUGGUUGUUUGCGCUUGUUUUAUUCAAGAGUCUGUGUUCACGAUAUGUUUCAUAUGUCCUACAGUAUGUACAUCUUCCCAUUUCGAUUAUUCAGGGCUGUGAUCUCUUCUUUUUGUGCACUGGUUUUAGCUCGUCUAUUCUACCUAAUAUUCUGCUAGAGCCCCAUGUGCGCUCUGCUCGCGGACAUGUUUUAGCUUAUCUAUCAGCUUAUCUAUGAAACACGUUGAACAUUAUGUUUUAGCUUAUCUAUCAGCUAGAGUACUCCAGGUACUUGAAAGCAUGAGGAAACAUAAACUAUCAAACACGUUGUAUGUUGUAUAGUACUCCCUCCGUCCCAUAAUAUAACAACGUUUCUAACACUAGUGUUGUGUUUAAAACGCUCUUAUAUUAUGGAACGGAGGGAGUAGAUAUCAAUAUGACUGCAUUUUUUGUGUGCCUCAUUUUCACUUAUUUUCCACUCCUUGUGCCGUAAAACGUGGCAUGUGCAUUGUUGCUUGGCCUUAGGGAUGGACAUGAUACCAACUGAAAUUAUGAUAUGGAACUUUGCUGAAAAAAUAUUUGUUGUAUAUGUUCUAUUACAAACAUGUUUAGUUAGGCCGUGUCAAAGUAAUCUUUUGAUUCACUGUCUCGCAUAAUCAAUGUUUUUUGACUUUUAUAGAUUUUGAAAAAUUCAGAACUGAAUAAAAUGCUGCCAAUUUGCAGAUGUGAUACAUAUAUAUGUGCAUAUACAAUAGGUUACAGACUCAGAAAUACAUUUUUCAUUGACCAAGCUACAUAGCUAGCUGUUAGUUUGAAUCAGGUGUAGAAUGCUGAAUAGAAUGUGCAUGUGCGUGUACUGAACACAUUCACCCCUGUUGAAAGUUUCAGAUCCAGCAUACAUGCAGCAGGUGUGGUAUUUGGCUUCCAUGUGCAAACAUGAUAAAUGUUGGCCUUCAUUCAUGUUUCGUCGCAAGGUCCAGGAAGAAGAAGUCAGGAGAAGCACAAAGUUCUUGAUCAUUGGAGCUAGUUAUUGUUUUGAUUUUUUAGUUGUGUUACCUAAUGUGAACUAGUUUUGAUUGUAAACCUGAUGCUAACCAUGUUUGAUUGAAAUGUGCCAAGUUUGGAUA